UCUUGAGGAAACUGAUUGAACACAAAUGUCACUGCCUAAUGGUAGUAGAUUGAGAGGAGAAAGCUAUCAGACCUGUCUGGGCAGAUUUUCUGGCUGGCGGUUUCCAAGUUCUUCCUAACACCCCUGGCUGACAGCUUUAGAGCCUGGAGGAGCACAUGGUACACAGGAGCCACUUUUCAAGUCUUUGGCCAAUGAAUCGUGAGUCCUGGACAAUUGGAGAAAGACAUUCUACCAAGGCUGCUGAUGCAGUAACAGCUUCUGGACACUCUGAGAGGGAGGAAGCAGAGGACUGGGAAUCAAAGCCUGACCCCAAAAUGCAUACCACAACCUGGUGUUGGCACCAGUAAAAGCUGUGUCUCAUAAAAGAACUGUGAAGACAGGACCAGAAGUGGUGACCUUAAAACAGGACUCCCAUGGAGAGAAAGCAGAAAGACAAUGGAAAUGCUGGGGUGAUUUCCAAACUUAAACCAUAAAGACCAUGCUGUCAUUUGCAACAGCACAGAUAAAUCCAGAGACAUUAUAUUAAUCACAGUAAGCCAGACACAGAAAGAUGGAUGCUUCAUGACUUCACUGGCAUGCUGCAUGAUUUAAGUCUGAAACGAUCUUUACAGGUCAUCUGCUGAAGAAGAUCAGCAAGUGCAUGGUGUCAGGGACAGUACCUUUCCUUCAUCAUCUAUAAUAAAUAUCUCUUCAUGGCCAUCUUCUUGAAUCAUCCAGUUCUCAUCGCACCACGGAAGUAUUCACCCAUCUAGAGAGAUGUGCAAUCCUCAUCUGUCAGUGUUCCCUCCCACAUCAGUACAUCUUCCAGUUUUCUUGGCUGUUAUUCCCGGAUACAACUCCCUGUUUUGCCUUUUCAUUGUGGAAGUUUUUCCUGCUUUAUAUUUUUGGAAUGGAAGACUCCAGAGACUGACCUUGUACAGGAUCAAAUGACUGACUAGCUAGCUGGUGGAUCUCACCUCCUUUAGCUGCAUUCACUGAUAUAUCACGAGGAGGUAUUUGCAUGCACACAUAUAUUGAUAGAAACCAAUAACAGUAAUAGGUAGCUUCUAACACUGCAGAGAAGUGCCUUGUAUUGUAUGCCAUUAGAAAAGAAAAUGGGUAUAUGUCUGCCAUAAAAAUUGUUCACAUGUUCACUCAACAAGCUCUUUAAGUGUUCACUCUGUGCUAAGAGUUGGGCUAGUAGUUGAAGUUAAGAUGCAUAAAAGUUUAUCAUCUGUUUUAAAACCUACCUGACUGCAUGAUCACAGAGAGCCAUUUACACAUUCACUUUGCUGCUUUUAAGUCAGCUAUAACCUUAAUGGCUAUUAAAAUGCUACCUAAGUCCAGUAUUGAGGAUUCUGUGGAGAGAAGCUUAAGGCAAAGAACUUGAUGGCAUUAGAGUUAGGCAAUAAAGAUCAAAUGAAUGGAGGAUUUCAGACCAGAGAAAGAAGAGCAUGAAGGGAAGGUAACUCAUGUGAAUAGAGCCCAGAAAUCCUGGUACUCUGUAUGUGCUGGGUGUGAAGUAGUGGUGGAUAGAGUCACCAAGAACCUUCAAGGCUAUACAAGCUUUGAAGAAGUUGUUGAGGCUGGCAAGGUAAACUGGAACCCUAAAGACCUGUAAAUGUCUUGCCCAGGUCUUGGGGCUUAUAUAGGCAACAGGGAGUAUAAAUGGAUAAGCUCUGGAGUCCUGAAAAGUCUUCUUCAUGGCUGUGUAGAAAAGAGGAGAGACACAGAAGAAGCCUGAGAGGAGCUCAGUAAUCCAGCCAGAAAUCAUGGAUCUCUAAGAAGACUUCUGUAGCUUUACAGAGAAAGAGAUGGGUUUAAUGGAAAUUAAGUGGGGUUAGAAUUGUCAACCCAAAAGACAAUUCUGGAAAUGGCUAACAACUUUCACAGUCCAGAAUACAAGGAAAGGAUGAUCAAGACUUCAGUUUGGGUGACAUUGAGAUUGCAAAAUAUCCAGACUGAUCAAUAUUGCUUUUGGGUUUGUGAUUUGUUUUGUUUUGUUUUGUGUGUGUGUGUCUGUCUGUCUGUCUGUUUGGCUGUUUGCAGGUGCAGAAAUGAAGUCAGAGAAAAACUUGCAGGCAUUGAUUCUAUCUUUCUACCAUGUGAGUCCAGAGAUUGAACUUUAGGUUGUUAGGCUGGGCAGCCACA